rnacentral:rRNA from 1 species
GCAUAACGCGAAGAACCUUACCAAGGCUUGACAUAUACGGUCUAUCCCUAGAGAUAGGGAGUGCUUCGGCGCCGUAUACAGGUGGUGCAUGGUUGUCGUCAGCUCGUGUCGUGAGAUGUUGGGUUAAGUCCCGCAACGAGCGCAACCCUCGUUCUAUGUUGCCAGCACGUAAUGGUGGGGACUCAUAGAAGACUGCCGGGGUCAACUCGGAGGAAGGUGGGGAUGAGGUCAAAUCAUCAUGCCCCUUAUGUCUUGGGCUUCACGCAUGCUACAAUGGCCGGUACAAAGGGCUGCAAUACCGUAAGGUGGAGCGAAUCCCAAAAAGCCGGUCUCAGUUCGGAUUGAGGUCUGCAACUCGACCUCAUGAAGUCGGAGUCGCUAGUAAUCGCAGAUCAGCAACGCUGCGGUGAAUACGUUCCCGGGUCUUGUACACACCG